rnacentral:rRNA from 1 species
AGAUCGAAUUGUUACUUUAGAGUCGUUGUCCAGACCAGCCGAGUAAAUAAGUUCCUUGGAAUAGGACAUCAUGGAGGGUGAGAAUCCCGUCUUUGGCUUGAGCAUUGGUCUUUUGUGAUGCGACUUCAACGAGUCAGGUUGUUUGGGAAUGCAGCCUUAAUUGGGUGGUAAAUCUCACCUAAAGCUAAAUAUUGGCGAGAGACCGAUAGCGAACAAGUACCGUGAGGGAAAGAUGAAAAGAACUUUGAAAAGAGAGUUAAACAGUAUGUGAAAUUGCUAAAAGGGAACCGUUUGAAGUCAGUCUGGCUGGUCUGCAAUCAGCUUCAACUUUGGUUGGAGUGCACUUGUAGGCCAUUUUUGCCUGCCAACAACAGUUUGUUCUGCAGCAAAAAGGUGUUGAGAAUGUAGCUUUCUCUUUGGAGGAAGUGUUAUAGCUCUUCCCGAAAUACUGUGGUUCAAACUGAGGCUUGCAGUGAAUGCUAUUUUGGCUUUGGGGAUGGAUUGCUCAGUGCUUUUGCUUGG